rnacentral:rRNA from 1 species
UACGAAGGGGGCUAGCGUUGUUCGGAAUCACUGGGCGUAAAGCGCACGUAGGCGGAUGUGCCAGUCAGGGGUGAAAUCCCGGAGCUCAACUUCGGAACUGCCUCUGAUACAGCACGUCUUGAGUCCGGAAGAGGUGGGUGGAAUUCCUAGUGUAGAGGUGAAAUUCGUAGAUAUUCGCAAGAACACCAGUGGCGAAGGCGGCUCACUGGUCCGGUACUGACGCUGAGGUGCGAAAGCGUGGGGAGCAAACAGG